GCGCCGUUAGCUCAACUGGCAGAGCAGGGGCCUCUUAAGCCCAAGGUUAGGGGUUCGAUUCCCUUACGGCGCA
rnacentral:tRNA from 1 species